rnacentral:rRNA from 1 species
GAUGAAUGCUGGCGGCGUGCCUAAUACAUGCAAGUCGAGCGAACAGAUGAGGAGCUUGCUCCUCUGACGUUAGCGGCGGACGGGUGAGUAACACGUGGAUAACCUACCUAUAAGACUGGGAUAACUUCGGGAAACCGGAGCUAAUACCGGAUAAUAUAUUGAACCGCAUGGUUCAAUAGUGAAAGACGGUUUUGCUGUCACUUAUAGAUGGAUCCGCGCCGCAUUAGCUAGUUGGUAAGGUAACGGCUUACCAAGGCAACGAUGCGUAGCCGACCUGAGAGGGUGAUCGGCCACACUGGAACUGAGACACGGUCCAGACUCCUACGGGAGGCAGCAGUAGGGAAUCUUCCGCAAAGGGCGAAAGCCUGACGGAGCAACGCUGCGUGAGUGAUGAAGGUCUUCGGAUCGUAAAACUCUGUUAUUAGGGAAGAACAAAUGUGUAAGUAACUAUGCACGUCUUGACGGUACCUAAUCAGAAAGCCACGGCUAACUACGUG